rnacentral:lncRNA from 1 species
CCUACCUGUUAUUCUAUUCUAUUAUUAUAUACCUAUUGCUACACAGAUUGGCACCUCAGUUCUGUCCAUCCCAGGGGUCUGGCCUGUCCUUAAUUGUGCCCCAAUGAAUGGCCUGCUUUGUCUGUGCCCUCUUGAUUUGGCCUGCGCUGUCUGUGCCAUUGCCUCUGGACGCCCGGGCCUGGCUGUUCCCAUACGUACACUUGUGCCAUGCAUGCGUUAUCCAGCUUGCUUCUGCCACUAUAUUGCGGUGCCGCCCCGGUUAUUCUGCUGGUGAUCUUUGUCAUCAGUGUAUCCUAGGUGUCACUUUGCAUACGGCCCCCUGCUAUGGAGCCCUCAACACAAGAGCAGAGCUUGCAGGCUAUGAUCAAUGCGGCUGUUUCUGCCUCCGUGGAAAAAGCCCUGGCCAGAGCCCUCCCGCAAGAUUGGGGCUCUAGAGGGACCCCUCACACGGCAGAUGACUCUGCUGAGUCAGACUCUCCCAAGAAAGAUCAGGCAAGGGCCCACAAGCGCUAUUGGAAUGGUGAAGACCCUUAGCCAUGCUCCCAGAAGGAAAAUGCUCUCCCACCUGGCGCAGGCGCUCACCCCCCCUACCCAUGGCCGUCCUAGAAGAAGGGUGGGCGGACCAGUCCCCCUCAGAUGAGGAAGACAGGUGGGGCAAAGAAGACACAGACGACUCCAUGUGGCCCCGUGAUUCAGUCGAAGCUUCCACAUAAAGGACACCGGUUUCCCUACUGGACGACUAUGUCUUCUUGGACGCUAAGCGCGAACCCCUGUUCGACCCUCUGUCCAUCAGACACCUGGCCAAGGGUGAAUCCGGGGAAUCCUUCAUCAAAGAGCUUCACAAGCACGUGAACCUCUUCACCACCCUGAGCAAAUCCCAGUCCUCAAUGAAGAGGGUCUUCCGCCCACAGAGUUCCUGGCUUUUGGCAGGGCUGGAUGACAGCUACCAGUUCUCCUCACUCUGUUGCAUGCAGGCAGAGUGUUUCACUGCAGGGACAUGUGGCGGGAGGUGUCCUCAGAUGCGCGUGUGCUUCAGACUGUUCGGGGCUAUAUCAUAGAUUUUCACUUCCCGUCGACACAGGUUCACCCUCCCCCGUUUCCUGUGUCUUCGAGGGUGCAGCAGUCCCUGAUAUAUGCAGAGAUUCGAGCCCUUUACAAAAAGGGUGCGCUCCAGUGGGCACUGGACAAUGGAGGUUUCUUCCGCUCCAUAUUUCUGUUGAGGAACAAAUCUGGGGACUUCGGCCCGGUGAUCAACCUGAUAAACCUGAAUGCCUUUGUGGUUUACCAUCAUUUCAAGAGGGAGAGCAUCCAUCUCCUGCAGAACCUCCUAUGCCCAAUAGAUUGGUUCACGAGACUGGACCUGAAGGGCGCCUAUCUCUCGGUGCCGGUGGACCCUACAUGUCGUCGGUUCCUCUGGUAAGGAACCUUGCCAAUUCACCUGCCUCCCUUUCGGUCUCCGCUCAGCACCGUGGUGUUUGACCAAACUGUUGAAACCGGUGACGACACGCCUCCACUCCGAGGGUGUUCGUUGUAUCAUCUACAUGCUGAUCUUGCGAUGGCUGAAUUAUCACACGGGCUUUGCAGUCUCCUUGUUCGAGCCGCUAGGUUUCAUGGUCAACCGGGAAAAAUUGUCUCUCUCACCGUCUCAGGUGAUUGAAUUCUUGGACUUCGAAUAGACGUCAGGGAGUACCUCCUACGCCUUCCUCAGUCCAAGAUCUCGACCAUUCGGAAGGAAAUCCGAAUCACUACAGGGCCAUGCAACGCCUGAAGGCCCACUUCCUCCGCAAGAGACCCUCCUACGACCAAGUGAUUCCCCUCAUGCCGGAUGUGAAGACCGAACUGCGCUGGUGGCUGCUUUGCAUGUCUGCCUGGAACGGCAAGGCAAUUUAUGGACCGACCCUGGAUUUCGUCCUGGAGUCGGACGCGAGUCUAUGGAGUUGGGGAGUCACUUGUUCAACCAGCUCCACGGGAUGCCCAUGGUCGGAGAUGGAGUCGGAGUAGCACAUAAACUGCCUGGAACUGAUUGCAGGCUCAUUCGCAAUCCAGAGCUUAGCGAGUCACUUUUCCGAUUGUUGCGUUCUCAGGAUGGACAACAUCUCAGCAGUACAGUACAUCAACCACCUGGGAGGGGCCCGCUCCCGGAUGCUUUCAGAGGUGACGAAGGAGAUCUACAGCUUCUGCUUCCAUGGCAACAUCACUCUCCAGGCGGAAUAUUUCCCGGGGUUGUCGAAUCUGACGGCGGACUGGUUCUCCAGACAUUGGAGGGACGCCAGCGACUGGAGUCUCCUUCGUUUUGGUUUUCUCUAUCGCGGACCGGAGGGGCCCGAUCACAGUGGACCUCUUCGCAUGAACUAUCAGAUCCCAACCUACUUAAGUCAGCUUCCAGACCCGGCUUGCUUGGCGGUGGAUGCUUUUCAGGUGUGGCGAUCUGUCUCUGGGAGCUUAUGAGUUUCCUCCAUUUGCUAUAAUCUCCGGUGGCCUCUGGCGCCUUCCUCGCCAGUGCCUCUCUCCAGGACAUCCUACGUUCGACUGACUGGUCCUGGGAAGACACCUUCUGACAAUUUUAUUUCAGACCAGCGGUUAAUGCUUCUUUUGCAUUGUUGUCUGAGCAUUAAAACAGCAAAUAUGAAGCCGCCUGUCAUGUUAUAAAAUUGUAGAUUAUAACGAUCAUCUUAAUUUUAUUAAUAUAGGAGGUGAAUAUUUCCCUCCCAGUUUCACCCUACCCUAGUUCCUUUUUUGUCAUUUAAUUUGACUGCCUCUGGUUGGUGGAUUGUUCUUCAGGUUUCUGAUUAGGUAUGUCACUUUUUUUUUUUCAGGAAAGUCUGGGGUGAGAUUUCUAUUGAUAUUGUACUAUCCUUAUUUGAUUAUGAGGGCUUCAUGUUUUUCACAGUACAUUUCAUUUGCUAACCAACUCUUUUGACUUUGUGUAUCUCGUUUAGUUUAAUGGUUCAUCUACGGAUCCACGUUCAAGUUCUUCUUCUGGAUGAAGGUUAUCGGUUGGCUUUGUUUGACUUCUACUGCUAGAUGUAUAUGAUUGUUUCUGUUCUUUGUUUUUGUUGCAGCUUGAAAGAGGAAAUAGUUUGUUGGGAGGGGACUUUUAUUGUUCCUGACUUUUUUUCUGAUUGGUGGUUUCUCUCUAUGUUAAUGUGCUGUUGUGGCGUUCUAGUAAAGAGAGACUUAAGCAAAUAUUCGCCUUCUUUCAUUAAUAACAUUAAGAUUAUAGUUACACUAAAGCUAGUAUAAACUACAAUUUUAAUUACCAUUGGGUCAGACCAUAUCAAGUGUAGCAGUGAAUUAACCCCUAUGUGACCAGACCGUUAUUUCAAUUUUCUUACCAUUAAGGACCAGGGUUGUUUUUACAUUUCUGCGGUGUUAGUUUAGCUGUAAUUUUCCUCUUACUCAUUUACUGUACCCACACAUAUGAUUAUUAUAUACCGUUUUUCUCGCCAUUAAAGGGUCUUUCUGAAGAUACCAUUAUUUUCAUCAUAUCAUAUGAUUUACUAUUAAAAAUAAAUUAUAAAAUAUGAUGAAAAAAUAAAUACACUUUUUCUAACUUUGACCGCCAAAAAACCUGUGCUAAAUAGUUUCGAAAUUUUUUCCUGAGUUUAGAAAUACCCAAUGUUAACAUGUUCUUUUCUUUUGCAAGCACAAAUUGCAUUUUGCUAUUUCCAAACCAUUUUUUUUUUUUUUUUUUAAAUUAACGAAAGUUACAUUGUAACACUGAUAUCUGUCAGGAAUCCCUGAAUAGCUCUUCACAUGUAUAUGGCAACCUAAGGUACUAAACUUGGGGUAUUUUGACUCUUUCAUGCAACCAUUUUACCACUAUUAUAUGCCAAAAUAAAAAAUGGUGAUUGAGAACUUUAAGGGUUACUGCCAAAGAACACCCCAAUAUGUGUUCAGCAACAUCUCCUGGGUACAGUGAUACCACCCAUGUUAUAGGUGUGUCGGGUUCCCUGGGAGCUAAAAGACCUUAUUUGGAAGGUGCGCAUUCCAGUUUUCCAACUUGGAAUUUUCACAGCUGGUCAUCAUGCACACAUGUCCUAUUUAGGAAAUUUUUGAAGCCGGCCAGUGUAAUUUAUCACCAUCAAACCAUAUAUUUUUGAAAAGUGGCCACCCUAGGGUAUUUCAAAUGCUGGUAUUUUAACACUUUUCAUGCACUAAUUCUACCACCAGUCUUUUGGGUACAAAUUUUUUGUUAUUUUUCUCUCACAUUGUACUUUAGGCAUGAAUUCUCAGUUCCUGUUAUAUUUUACUGACCAAGAACACCCAAAUAUGUGCUCAGCAACAUCUCCUGAGUACAGUGAUACCACCUAUGCAUAGGUUUGGGUUAUUUGAGGGGUGCAAUGCCAAACAUCUGACAUGUGUUUAUUAAAUUUGACACAUCUUCUUUGCCUAUCUUCUUUUGGGGGAGCUUUUUACAUAUCUCAAUUUAUUUUCUUGCCGUGAACGUGCAUAUAUUUGAAAAGUUGACACCCCAAGGUAUUGAAUAUGGAGUUUUUUUUUUUUAAUUCUUUAUUUUUGAAUUUUCAUGAGUGUUUUCAGGUGUGAGGGUAACAGAAAAAAAAGGUAGGGUAACAGACAAAAAAAAGGUAGGGUAACAGUAUGUGUUAACAAGAGUACAAUUUCAGGCAUUUCACAAUUACAAUUGUAAUUAUAGUGUCUUGCAUUAUGUAGUCUCAUUGCAUGUAACAAUCUUAAGUUGCUAAUUAACAUACAUUUUUCAGGAUUCAGGAUAACAUAGUAGAAAAGUGGUGUGGGGGUGAUCUUCGUGAACAACAGAUCUAUAGAUUUCUCAAGUUGCUAGUUCUAUGUUUUGAGUUGUACCGCCUGGUUUCUGUUUUGUGGGCUGCUAGACUCGGUACGUAGGCCUGGGUUUUUAACUUCUUGAGCAUGCUUAUUCUUGUUUGUUGCCUUAAGUAGUGGUGACAUUGUCCAUGUGGUCUGUAACGUUACAGAGGGGGCAAGGGGGUACUAAACUUGGAGGUGGGGGCGGGUUGUGAGUAUAUGGAGAGGGGCAGUCGCCCAGAUCGGGUGUGGGGGUCUCCCAUGUGUCUUCAGGUCGCCUUGUGGUGGUUGGUUUUAUGCUGGGUGUAAUGUGUGUUCAGGUCGGAUGGUGUUUUUAUGACUCUUGAGUGUAGGUGAGUGACCUUGGGAUGUGGGAGUUUUUUAAUUGUGUGGUGUAAGUGUGACGGUAGUAAUCUGUAUCACCAUCUAGUAUUCCAUUUUCCCAAUAGCAGAAUAACCACAAUAAUCCACAGUGUAAAAUAACGCUGGUAUCGACAGAUAAUCCACACAUGAACUAAAGCUUAAUGCUGGAACAAGACUGAUUUACUGGAAUACAGGGCACACAGUUUAUACAAUACCAAACUCCUCCUCUGGGCCAGGCUAGAUAAUUUGAUUUGAGCAACAUGCUUAACUCAAUUAUCUACUGGCCAGAAAAAUUACAGUUUUUCCAAUUUUUUUUUAAACAAUACUUUUUACAUAACAUAUCAAUAUAAAUAUUACAUCCCUGGCUAGCUGAUGGUCUGGGGAGCAACAUACUCAAAAUUCACGAAAAUCCGUUCAGUAGUUUUCGUGUCGCGUUGUGUGGAAGUUUGACCGGCUCACCGCGUGUUGGUAUCAGAUUCAGAGUUACACGAAAUUGGGGCCAAGAGCCGGUCUCCGUUCGGGUCAAUAUAGUUACAUGCGAUGUCCAGUCUCUUUACACCAUUAUCCCCCAUGAUAUUGGUUGUCAAGCCAUAAAAGAAAUCCUAACUCAGGAAGCUAGGAUUCCAGACAUUCAAAUAGAUUUUAUAAUAGAAGGUAUCAAUAUUAUUUUAAACAAUAAUUAUUUUUGGUUUUUAGACACUUUUUAUUUACAAAAAAAGAGGUACUGCUAUGGGGACUAGGUUUUCCCCUAGUUACGCUAAUUUGUUUAUGGCUGACUGGGAAAAUGAAGGCAUAUGGGGCAAUCAUACCUGGCGGGCAAACCUAGUCUCCUAUUUUAGAUAUAUAGAUGACCUUUUUUUUAUUUGGGAUGGAUCUGAAGAAAAUCUUAUCAAUUUUAUUAAUUAUUUAAAUACUAACAAUAGGGGCAUUACUCUCACAUACGAAUUUAGUAAACAAUCCAUAAAUUUUUUAGACUUAAAUAUUUUUAUUAAUAAGGGACAACUCCAAACAAAAACUUUCUUCAAAAAAGUGUGUGUAAAUACAGCUAUAGACAGAUCUAGCUGUCACUACAAGCCAUGGCUAGAAAGUGCCCCAAAGAGCCAGUUUCUACGUCUUCGUAGAAACUGCUCAGAACUCACAGAUUUUAAUGAACAAGCAGAGUUUAAAAAAAAAAAAUUUAUUGAAAAAAAUUAUUCAGAAACAGAUCUGAAUACCACAAUUAAUACAGUCAAACAAAAAGAACGAAAAGAUCUUCUGACAUAUAAAAAUAAAGAAAAUAAUGAAACUAUGCCACUUCCAGUUAUUUUUAAUUUUAAUAAUAAAAGCAAUGAUGUUAAAAAAAUAAGAAAACACUGGCACAUACUCAAACAAGAUGAGAUACUCAAAUCAAUCAUACCUACUCAUCCAAAUAUUGUUUUUAGAGGAGCACCUAAUUUUAAAUCUAUUUUAACUACAAAUUUUACAAAAAAAUCCCCUCUAAAAAAUGUAUCAUUCUUUCCUCAGACAAAAGGUUUUUUUAAAUGCAAACAAUGCAUUGUAUGUAAAACUGUAGACCAUGCUAUUUCAUCAAAAACCACAAAAUUUAUGUCAAACCAAACUAAAAAAGUGUAUGAUAUUUAUGAUUUUAUAAGCUGCCAUACGAAAAAUGUUAUCUAUCUGCUCGAGUGCCCAUGUGGCCUCCAAUAUGUGGGGAUGACCACAAGGUGCCUAAAGAUAAGAUUGAGCGAACAUUGCAGAAAUAUUAAAAAUGGAUACUUAAAUCAUACAGUAUCCAAACAUUUUAUUAUGCACAAUAAAGAUCCCCGUUUAUUAAAAUGUAUCGGUAUUAAAAAAUGUUCUACCUCUUGGCGAGGAGGUGACAUAAAAAAGCUACUUGGAAAAAUAGAGAUGGAAUGGGUGUAUAAACUUCAGACUCUUAUACCCCAUGGCCUAAAUGCAGAUUUUGAUUUACACAAUUUUUUAUGAAUUUUUAUGUCUGUACCUUUAAAUUAUGGUUUUAAUAUAAUUUAUUCCCAUAUUACCCUUUCUAUUUGCAUUGUCUUUUCCUUUUUUAAUAUAAUAAGAAUUGUUUUAAUAUUUGCAUUUAUAAUAUUGUUGCAUUUGGUGUUUCCUACUAUUAAUUCAUAUGUUUUAAGUGAAACUUCAUUUCCCAUAAGGCAUUUCGGCUAUUAUUGCCGAAAGUCACGUGACCAUUUUCAAAUGCUUAAUUUCUGUACCUUUAAAUUAUGGUUUUAAUUUAAUUUAUUCCUAUAUUACCUUUUCUAUUUGCAUUGUCUUUUCCUUUUUUAACAUAAUAUGGAUUUGUUUUAAUAUUUUUAUGUAAAAUGUUGCAUUUGGUGUUUCCUACUAUCAAUUCACAUGUUGCAAGUGAAACUUCAUUUCCCAUAAGGUAUUUCGGCUAUCAUUGCCGAAAGUCACAUGACCAUUUGUAAAUGCUCAAUUUCAGAUAGCUAGCCCCUUCGUUUAUAUGUUUUAAUCUUUGUUGCCAAACCACACUAACUUGAGAACCCCAACUAACUAUGUUAAUAUGGUUUUUGUAAUUCCCGCCGCUCUAAACUACAACUCCCAUGCGUCCUUGCGGCGGCAACUUCCGAAAUGCGGAAGUGCCGCCGGUCACGUGACUUUCUUUAAUUUGUUCAAAAUCAUAUUUCUCACCUUCGUUUUAAAUCAAAAUAUAUUUUAAAUGAGAUGUAUUACUAUAAAGUAUGUGCAAAAUAAGUUAAUUUAUAUUUUAAAUGCCAAGAAUAUGUUUUCAAUUCUGAUUGGUUGAAUCAAGUUUUGGCGCCAAAAUUCAAUUAAUUAUGCUCUUAUAUAACUUCUAUGUGCCAGGUUAACUAUGUUACUCCAUUUGAAAAAGUCCUUUUGUGACGAAACGCGUUAUGGAUAAUUGAAUAUUGUGUUUUAUACAUAUAUUAAAGUAUUUUUGGUCA